GGGUAGUUGUCAGAUUGGCUUAUGUCUUGGUCUGCAAAACCAAGUAGACUGGUUCGAUUCCAGUACUACCCU
rnacentral:tRNA from 1 species